UGACGUGUACGCUGGGGGAAGGGGAGGCCGCGCUCGGUCUCCGAGCUCUCGGCGCUUCAGGAGUUAGGCGAGCUCGUCAGCCGCCUCGGGAAAGCUGCGCCCCCGCAGGGGGGAAGGUUUAGCCCCGAGAAAUGGGUUGAGGAUUGGGCACAGAGCAGAUGCCCACAGACAGAGGACCGAUGCGUCCCGGGAGGGCUUGCCAGAGCCCCAGGUUCCCUUCAUCUUCAGAAUCCACAGUGGUCCAUCCAGUCUUCCUCAGGAUGAAUCAUUCUGGCACUGCCUCCUUCUUUUACUUACGGAGACCCUUCUGAUUCCAAUGGGCCCACCCAGCUAAUCCAGGGUGCUGGGAAUUAAACAAGGUAAAGAAUAUCCCAUCCAUUAAGAAGCUGAUAAUCUUUAAACAGAGACAAGUGAGCAAGAAUGAAUUGCUGGGAGAACACGUAUGAGAAGAACCUAACCUGGAAUGUGUUUUCUAAGCAAUUCCUCAGCUUUUGGCAGCAGGAAGACUACUGGAAGAAGAUGAAAAAUAAAUUAAUAAAUAGGUGACAAAGGAGGAAAGGAAGUGGAGGUUUCACUGUGCAUCCUUUUGUUUUGUUGCAUUUCAUACAAUGUGCAUGUAUUAUGUAUAUUAAAAAGUUGAUGUUUAAAAAGAAUAAUUGUUUUAUUUAAAGGAAUAAAUCUAGUAAGCAUCAACUAAUGAAUAAAAUUACCACUGUGCUAGUAAUCUAAGUGCCUGUGAAGUGUGGAAAAAGAACUGGGGGCAUAGUUCUGUUUGGGUGAUGUGAACACAUGUUACAUGGAAAGCAAUAGCAUCAAGAAAGUUUUGAACUAACAUCCUGCACUCUGGCUGGUCCAAGGAAAGGACCACCAGAGGUGUGGCACCAGGAAGGUUGGAGAGUGGAGAGGCAGAGAUGAAGUAUCUGUCAUCAAAUCUCCAGGGCUCUCAGGGAAGAGGCUGCACAAACAGUCCAUCAUGAUCGCUGGGUCUUCCUUGUGGGGUUUUGGAGGGUGCUCAGCAAUCACUGAAUUUAAUUAAUUCUAUUUGAAAUGGAUACAUUAACCUAACACAAUGCAAUAACACUGACUAUUAAGAAUAUCCCUGGCUCAAGAAUUCCCUGGUGGUCCAGUGGUUAGAAGCCUGUGCUUCUCCUUCAGGGGGCCAUGGCUUCCACUCCUGGUCGACGGAACUAAAAUCCUACAAGUCCUGCUGCCUGGGCAAAGAACAAAAGUUUCACAGUGACUAAAUAACCCUUCGAUUAUAAUCUGGUUUCCCAGGGGUGUAACCUAUGAAAGCAGAGCUGGCUGUCUGAGUGGAAAGGUUGUAUGUUUCUUUAAUGAAUGCUUUCUUCUUCUCUUCUGGGUUGGUGUGACUCAGGAGUUUUAACCCUGAUCCUCACCUUAGGGUGAGUGCAUGCUAAGUUGCUUCAGUCAUGUCGGGCUCUUUGCAACCCCAUGGACUGUAUAGCCUGCCAGGCUCCUCU